rnacentral:rRNA from 1 species
AGAGUUUGAUCAUGGCUCAGGACGAACGCNGGCGGCGUNNNAAAACAUGCAAGUCGAACGGAGUAGCAAUACUCAGUGGCGAACGGCGGAGUAAUACGUGAACAACGUGCCCCAAAGACUGGGAUANCCAGGGGAAACCCNGAGUAAUACCGGAUGUGGCAACGAGAUGGCAUCUUCUCGUUACUAAAUGGUUUUUCGCUUUGGGAGCGGUUCACGGCCUAUCAGGUAGUUGGUGAGGUAACGGCUCACCAAGCCGACGACGGGUAGGGGGUCUGAGAGGAUGAUCCCCCCGAGUGGGACUGAGACACGGCCCACACACCUACGGGUGGCAGCAGUUGGGAAUCUUGCACAAUGGGGGAAACCCUGAUGCAGCGACGCCGCGUGGAGGACGAAGGGUCUAGGCUCGUAAACUCCUUUUUUCGGGAAAGACUUAGGACGGUACCCGAAGAAUAAGCACCGGCUAACUACGUGCCAGCAGCCGCGGUAAGACGUAGGGUGCAAGCGUUGUCCGGAUUUACUGGGCGUAAAGAGCGCGUAGGCGGCUCGUUAAGUGAGAAGUGAAAGCUGUGGGCUCAACCCACAAACCGCUUUUCAUACUGGCGAGCUGGAGUGAUGCAGAGGUGGAUAGAAUUCCCGGUGUAGCGGUGAAAUGCGUUGAUAUCGGGAGGAAUACCCAUGGCGAAGGCAGUCCACUGGGCAUCAACUGACGCUGAGGCGCGAAAGCGUGGGUAGCAAACAGGAUUAGAUACCCUGGUAGUCCACGCCCUAAACGAUGGAUGCUAGGCGUAGGAGGUAUCGACCCCUCCUGUGCCGCAGCUAACGCACUAAGCAUCCCGCCUGGGGACUACGGCCGCAAGGUUGAAACUCAAAUGAAUUGACGG